GAUAAAAAAAAUUAGUUACACAUACAGAUUGUUGGAUACAUAGGUGUUCUGUGUCACACUAUUGGUAAACUAUUGAUCUGGACAAAUGCAGUCUAAGCUUCUGACUUUCUCUGUUCUCUUUUAUUUUCCUCUUUCACAUAUAACUGUAUUUAACUUCUGCUUUUGCCAAGAUAGUUUGUGGGAGGUUUUUUUUUUUCUUCCCCAAAUACCAGCCUUCUUUUUCUCUGAGUCAAAUAAGGUCACGAAACAGAGUAUCUUAACACAACUCUGGUCCUGAAUAAAAGAAUCCAGUUUGUAGAAAUUCCAUUAGUGGGAAAAAAAUAUGAGUUUGAUAUUCAGCCACUUGGUAAUUGGGUGGUGUUGGUCUGCACUCCUAUUCCUUCCUCUGUAAAAUAGAGAUAAUAAUACCUCCUACUUGUGAGAAGUGGAUAAUGUAUGGAGUAUAUGUGGCACAGUGCUUAGUCAGUAUUCAUUUCCUUUUCUUUAUGGCCUUCUCCUCUUCUGGGGACCUCUAUGUGUUUGCUGGUGCUGCCAUCUGAAAAAUUUGGGUGAGAUCUGAAGGAUAGAUGAGUUGGAAUUGACAGACAAUGAGUAAGCAAGAGUUGAGGCUGCCUCCCUGAAGUGGACAGAUGCAUAUUAACAUUAUUCUUCGUAGGAUGUUUAAACAUAGCCCCCUGUUUUCUUGCAUCUGGUGUGUGUGUGUGUGUGUGUGUGUGUGUGUGUGUGUGUGUGUGUAUGUACUGUGUACACAUACAUACACACACACCCAGAAAAUCUCAGUAAUUCCAUUCUCCCUUGGCUUGGGUUCUCCUAAUCCUAGACAGCAGGGCUGAAGAAGGAGGAGAGGAAGAUAGGGAUAUUGGGGGAAGAGCUGAUGAAAAGGUGCAUUAUUAAGCUGGUUGUAUGUGGUAUCAAGUGUGUCUGUUACCUAAUCUCAGGGGACUUUCUGAGAGACCAUAAAAACAGUUGCUUCUAAAGUCAGUCCUUCCUGGGCAGAAAAGAGGGAGAAUUUAUCCAUGUGCUUCCAUUUCUUAGUGGUCAGAAGUUUGCUUCCUAGGACAUUAAUUCUUUUGCACUUCCAGGUUGUGCUAUGUGGUACCUAGCAGGUCCCACGUCAUCUCAUCCUUCAGCAUCAACUGGAGUAGGAGGCAAGAUGUGCAUUGUGUGGACAUGUGUAAAAUUCUGUUAGGUGGUGCCCACAUUAGGUUUGUCAGAGUCCAACCAGAGUUUGUCAAUAUGUCGGCUAUUGGUGCUGGAAUAGUUUGGUAACUACAGAGGUCGAGAGAAUCUGAAGCAACCAUAAGUGGUAUAUGAAACAAUCCACCCCCUUGCACUAUUCACAUCAACCCAUGUGCUGUCAUGAUACCUGUCUACCACAUACAGUGAUCUGUCUCUUUCUUUUGUUUGGUGAGAACAGCAUGCUGUCAGCUUCAAUUGAUUCCAAGAGUAUAAUAAAUAUCAUCUCCCUUCUUCUCCAUCUAUUCUAGAAUUCCAUCACCUUCAGUUGCUUGCCUGCUGGAAUGACAUGGAUUCUCAUCCCUGAGGAAGUAAUUCUGGAUUCCUUCUCAUGAUAAUGAAGAUCAAUUACCCUUGAGAAGACAAUAACUCCUUUCUUGCCUAUUGUUUCCUGGUAUAAGGAGCUCAAAGUGAACAGGAUUCUGCACUGCCUGCAGCCCUGGGAGACAGAGCAAGUUCAGAAACCUGGUUUAUGCUAGUUUUACAAAGGAGAAAACAGGAUUGGAGAAAUUAAAUUGGAGAAUUUGUGGCACAUUGACUGAACAAAACACAGUCUUGUUCUUAUGACUCCUUGCCGGUGUGAUGUGGAAUUACACUCUCCUGAGGACAUGGUCAGUACUUAAAGGCCCUUCCUUCUCAAUGUCCAGAGAAAGCUGUUUCCAAGCUCUUCCUCACCAGCCAUGGUGGCCUCCUGGUCUUUGCUGGGAAUCUGGGAGGCAGACACAAUAGCUAGACAACCUCAAGGAUGGCUAGAAUUCUGUUCCUUCUGGCUUACCAAAGGGCAAACCCAGGGUCAGUAGGUCCUUCCCAGUGUUGGAUGGUCACUUUCAACCAGCCCACAGAUACACUGUGGAAGCAAACCUCAAGAGCAGCAAAGCCUGUACAAAGAGGUAAUUCAUACACAAGGGUAGUUCUGUGGUAGUUGGUAGACCCCCAGUGGGACAUGUAAGUUCAUAACCAGCCUGAAUUGAGUUAUGAGAAAGUUAAAAUCAUCACCAUCAUCAUUAGUGAUACAAAGAUGGUAGGGAAGAAGAGAGCUGUUCUGAGUUAUUCUUGUUUCCCAGCAUUUUGUGAGGUGUCCUAUCUCUAGGCCUUUGUAUAUACUUCUCUCUCCUGUCAUGUCUCUCUUCCACCUAGGAAAAUCUUUUAACACUGUCAAGAUUCAACUCAAAUGUUCUUUCUUCCAAGAAGCUUUCUUUGACUCCCUUCACUUUAGUGAAGGAGGUACACUCUCCUUUGUAUGCCUUGGGGCUUGGUGCCUGUCCUAGUUUUUGUCUUCCUCUAUUAUACUCUAUUAUACUCUAAUUGAUACUCUAUUAUAUCAUGUACCUUCCUGUUCUCAGCCUUAGAUGAAGAGUAUCUUGAGGAGCUCAGUUGAACUGUUGAUUCAUCUCUACAUCCCAGGACAUAGUACAGUGACCGGCAUGGAGAAGGAGAAGUGGCUCAUAAUGAAUAUUCCAUUAAUGAGCAAGGAAUGAGUAAAAGAAGAAUGAAGAGAGACCAGCCUCCAGAGGAAACUUUGAAGUUUCCUCUCACCCUAUUCCUGUAUCCCCCAGUUGGCCUGGGUUGCCACACCCUUUGUGGGAUCUGUGCUAUUUCUAGCCCAUUUUUCAAAAACAUUUUUAUUAUAGGUUGAAACAUGCAACUUUGAAAAUUGUCUUUCAAGUUCAUGGCCUUCAACCCUAGAAUUAGGUUGCAAAUAUGUGUCUUUGGUUGCUAGUAAUGAAAAAAAGAUUGAAUGGGGAGAACUUUCCAUGGGAAGGACAUAUAAUAAUGUUACAAAGAGCAGUCUUUAUAACAUUGCAAGGGAAUAUCAUAUUUUUUUCCAAAUGCUUUACAAGGAUGUUGGGGAAGAGGAUGACCUUAGGCCUCACCAAUUCUUUCUCUAUGGUUCUACGUAUUGACUUGCAAAGAGGCCACACUGCAUUGCUCUUCGCCAAGAUAAGCAUUUAGAAAUGCAUUUAUUCAUGUCCUGCCUCCCAUAUUUGUGAAACAAACUCAUUUCAUAGUUCCUUCUUAUCUCUGAGCAAUGAAUUUACUGAGAUAAACAGAUAUAUAGCAUGUCCUGAAACCUCCCACAAUGCACCUCUUUCACAAACUUGAUCUCCCUUUCUCCUAACAUACAAACCUCUUCUAGAAAUAUACUUGUUCCACUGUUAGUGUUCCCUGGAAAGCAGUCCUACCUCAAAUUCAACACACACCCAGAUAUUUUUGGAAAAUUUUUGUUGUCUUGUACCUGAUUAGGUUUGGUAGUAUUGAAGGGUGUUAAAAUUUAGCCUCCCUUAGUGCAUCAGUUCAGGAUAAAUCCACAUUUUGUGCUCUCACAUAAAAACUUAAUGCAGUGUAGACCCUUGUGUGUGUGACUGUUUCUUCCAUGACCUUGAAGGUAGAGGGUGGGUCUAGUUCCCUUCCUGAUACCCACGGCCUAAUUCUGGGCCUGACAUCGAAAAGGUACUUGAUAAAAUGUGACUUUUAACUUUGAGCCCUUACAAGCACAACAUGACUGUGUUUAGCACCUGAAGGGCCAGUGUUAGCAGAAGGAUGAAAAAUUGGGGAUGUUUGGGCAGCAUUUGAGAAUUAGUGGUGGCCAGGAAGAUCUCUUAAAUGAGGAAAGGCAAGGAAGCUAGUGGAAGACAGUUAAAUGGGGCAGAGGAACUCGAAAAGGGGAAUAGACAAAGAACCACUGUCAGGCUGGGCUCUUCCUCCUUACCUGUCCUCAGCUCCAGGACCCAUUGAACUUCUUUGGGUUUUUCUUUGUUGUCCCACCUGCUCCAAUUCUGGCCAGGAAAGUUGCAGUGCAGGAUGAGUAAUUGUAAGCAGGUGGAGAACAGUAACUGAAUGUAAAGUUUAGGAAUUUAUUUAGUCAAGAAUUUUGAAGUUAUGUUAAAAUGUCAGGCUGUACUAUAAUAUUUCACUGCUCAAGGAGUAGACCUUCUAAACGACUAAUCAUCUUUCCCCUGUAAAAUGUAGUAUGCUCCAGUGGAAACAGCCCAUGAACAACAGCCUGGUGUUCCAUUUCUCCAAGGUCUGCCAGAAUUGCUGCUGGGUUGAUUUGGAGGAUUGGCUGGGUUGGGCUAAGGUUAAGCCAGGAAGAUUUUUUUCAAAGUGGCAUUUGGGGGUAACUACGGUAUGUUCCCAAACAACAGAUGAUGAAGACAAAGAGAUGUGAUCGUAAAGGUAUGUGACCUCAAAGGUAUCUAACUUUUUUCUUUUGCCAGAUUCUUAUUUGUCAAAAUAGCCCAGAGAAUGUCAACCAAAGGUCAUGUUGGAAGAAAAAUUACAAUUUGCCAAAUUUUUUUUUAACUUCAGUUUUUUAAGAAGUAGGAAAUAAACAGUGGUUAGACUGCAGGUGUCUUUUUGUUUAAUUGUGAAGACACUUUUAGAAUAUCUUAAAUGCCUUCCAAAAUGUGGUAGUUAAUAUUUAAAGUAUAAAUAUUUAAGCAAAAUAAGAAACUUGCCUAUUGGGCAAAAUGAGAAAUUUUGAACUCUUCAUUUGAGUUCAGAGUGUACAAUCUGUAACUCUGUACCCGAGUUCUUGGCAUGUAGUGGGAGUUCAUAAACAUUUGGCGAGUGAGUGGGGAAGCUAAAAACCAACUGCAUUAUGCAAUCCUGCUCUGCUAUUUCAGUUGGAAGCAGCUAGUUGGUUAUACCUAAUGGGGCCUUAGCAUUGUGAUUCUUUUGCUAUAAAAGUAGAUAGAGUGAGAAGACAGGCACAACUUUAAACUACCUAUUCUCAACAGCAAGAAGACUAUUUUAUUAGAAAUGUGUGUGUGUACUUGUGUUUGUAGGAAAAGCUUACAAUGCAACAGAACCAGCUUUCUGAAAAUUGGCCAUGCAAUCUUUGUAAUCAGUACUUCAUGUGCUUGUCGUUGUUACAAAUGGGUGAGCAGAUAACUCCAAGAUUUUAUAAGGCCACAGUUAUUUAAUUAAACUAAUGGUGGUAUCAUUUUGCAUUUUUCUGGAUUGCAAAGUCAUAUAUUUUUUAAUUGUACAAAAUAAAAAAGCAGAAAGAAAUGAAAACUCAGAGUCACUACUAUUGAUACGUUUUUAGAGUAUUUUUAGUGCAAAGAUAUGUAAUAGGCAGAAUUCCAAGAUGGGGUUAUUCUUGUGAUUACGUGAUGUUACCUGGAAAAAGGAAUUUUAUAGAGGUAGUUAAGUUACUAAUCAGUUGACCUUAAAAUAAGGACAUUAUUCAGGUGUGGGCCUAACCUAAUGAUAGGAAUCCUUUAAAAGCAAAGUUUUCUUUCCCUAGUUGAAGAAGUAAAAGUCAGAGAUUCAAAACAUGAGAGGAAUUCAACAUUCCAGCCAACAUUGCUGGCUUGAAGAUGGAGAGAUCCACAAGUUGAAGAAUUUGAGUGAUGGGGUGCCUGGGUGACUCAGUCAGUUUAGCAUCCAACUCUUGAUUUCAGCUCAGGUCAUGAUCUCAUGGUUCCUGAGAUUGAGCCCCACAUUGGGCUCUGCACUGACAACUCGGAACCUACUUGAGAUUUUCUUCUUCCCUCUCUCUGCCCCCACUUGCGCGCACAUACUCUCCCUCUCUCUCUCUCAAAAUAAAUAAUUAAAAAAAAAAAAAAGAAUGUCAGUGAUAUGUAGGAGUUGGAAGUUACUCCUAGCCAACAGCCAGAAAGUGAAUGGAGACCUCAGUCUUACAGCCAGAAAGAACUGGAUUCUUCUAACAACGUGAAUGAACUUGAAAACAAAUUCUCAUACAGAGCCUCCAGCUUAGCCAACAUCUUGAUUUCAGUAUUUGAGAUCCUAAGCAGAGGACGUAGCUAAAGCACAGGUCAUAGCUAAGACAGGUCUAACCCAGACUACAGACCCACAGAAACUGUGUGAUGGUAAGGGUGGGUUCUUUACAGCUGCUAAGUUUGUGGUAAUUAUGUCACAAUAAAAGAGUAAUAUAGAUUUUCCAGUACCUGAAAGUGAGGUCUGCCCCACAAUAAUAAAUAUCUGAAGUCUGGAAGUGGCUUUGGAAUAGCUGGAGGCUGGAAGAAUUUUGAGGAAUAUGAUAGGAGAGAACUAAAAUUGCCUUGAACAGACUGUUAGCAGAAACAUGGACACUGAAGAUGCAGCUGAUGAAAGUUCAGAAGGAAUUGAGCAUUAUAGUGAAAACUUAAAUUGUUUUGGAGAAAUCAUAAAUCACCAUGAACAGACUGUUAUUAGGAACUUGGGCUUUGAGAACACUGCUGGUGAAGACUCAGAAGGAAGUACAAAGCAUGUUAUUGGAACUGGAGGAAGGAGGAAAAUCCUUAUGUGGUGGCAGAAAGCUUAGAAAAAAUUGUAGCCUCUAGUUAUGUCAAAAGCAGAAUUUUGUGACAACUUGGAUAUAAUAGCUAAGGAAAUUUCCAAGCAAAGGGUUGAAGGAGCUUGUUUGUUUCUUCUUGCUGCUUAUACUAAAAUCUAAGAAAAAAGAAGUAAUUUAAUUUUUGUUAAGCUUUUAUUUUAAUUCUAGUAAGCUCACAUAUGUGUUAUAUUAGUUUCAGGUGUACAAUAUAGUGAUUCAACAGUUCCAUACAUCACACUUUGCUCAUCACAACAGGUGCACUCCUUAAUUGAAAAAAGAAAUAUUUUGAAGGGAAAAAAAAUCCUGGUAAACAUAAAAGUCUGGAUAAUUGUGAAAAGUUUCAACCAUUCCAGAUGGUAAAAGAUUCUAAAUGUCAGAAGUGGCUUCUGAAAACAUGGUAUAGAGGGUUGUGUGAUUAUUCAUCUUUUUGUCAAAACAACAGAAAGGCCAAUAGGUCAAAGUAUUCAGUCAUACAUAAGACUCUUCUAGGAGAUUAAGGGUGUGAUACAGGGCUCCCAUCAAUCAAACCAGAGGGUGUCUGAGAAACCUAGGGGUAUUGUCCCUCAGCCAUCUGAGCAGAAACCAGAGAUGGAGAAGAGAUACUUCAAAAAGAUUUGUGGGUGUUGCUUUUGUUUAAUGGCGUGAAACUGUGAAAUUCAUGCAAGGAUAAAUAAUAUAAUGGGUUGAAUAAUUCCUCCCUAAAAUCAUGUUUACCUAAAAUCUGUGAAUGUGACCUUAUUUGGAAAUAUAAUCAAGCUAAGAUGAGGUCACGAUUAGCAUAGACCCUAAUCUAAUGACUGGUGUCCUCAUAAGAAGAAGAAAAGUUGGACAGUAUUCUAAGUAUUCUGGUAGCAUUCUAAGUUAGUCCUUGAUCUCUGCCCUCUGGUGUUACUUUCUGAUUUUAUUACAUAGGAAUAGGGAUUUUACAGAUGAAAUUAAGGUUACUAAUCAGUUGACCUUAAGAGAGUGAGGGUAUCCAGGUACGCCUGUCCUAAUCACAUAAACCUUUUAAGAUGAAAGUUUUUCUCUGAGUGGUCGGAGAAGCAGAAGUCAGAGAUUCAAAGCAUGAGAAGAAUUCAACUUACCAUUGGUGGCUUGAAGACGGAGGGAGCCACAUGUUGAGGAUUGUGAGAAACCUCUGGAGUUGACAGUGACCCCUGGCCAACAGCCCCCAAUAAGAAGAUGGAGACUUUAGUGCUACAACCACAAGAACUAGAUUCUGCCAACAACCUGAAUGGGCUAGGAAACAGAUUCUUCCCUAGAACCUCCUCAUGAGAAGACAGCUCAGCUAACAUCUUGAUUUCAUACAAUCUCUGAGAACCUCAACAGAGGGCCACCUAAAGUGUAUUGGACACCUGACCCCUGGAAAUUGUGAGAUAUAAAUUUGUGUUGUUUACAGUUAUGUUUGUGGUAAUUUGUUACACACCAGUAGAACAAUAAUGUGAGUGUAUGUGUGUAUAAACACACACACACACACACAC